rnacentral:rRNA from 1 species
GACAGCAGUCGCCGCGGUAAUACAGAGGGUGCGAGCGUUAAUCGGAUUUACUGGGCGUAAAGCGUGCGUAGGCGGCUUCUUAAGUCGGAUGUGAAAUCCCUGAGCUUAACUUAGGAAUUGCAUUCGAUACUGGGAAGCUAGAGUAUGGGAGAGGAUGGUAGAAUUCCAGGUGUAGCGGUGAAAUGCGUAGAGAUCUGGAGGAAUACCGAUGGCGAAGGCAGCCAUCUGGCCUAAUACUGACGCUGAGGUACGAAAGCAUGGGGAGCAAACAGGAUUAGAGACCCCAGUAGUCCCUGUCUCUUAUAC